AUAAAAAUUCUUACAGUUCCCCAUACAUAAUUGCGAUUCCAUUCAAAAUGAUAUAAUUGCAUUCGCAUUUCCAUUUUGCAUCGAAGAAAAAGGAAACUUUCUCUGCCAAUUAAGUUUGAAACACAAAUGGGUUGUUAGCUAGUUGAUUGAUGGAGACAAACUCGGUUUUUCAUGGUGUUGCCAUUUUUAUUCUCUUAUUUGAUGUCGCGAAUGCAAACUCUGAAGUUAAGUAAACAGAUUAAACCCUGUAGGCGUUCAGAAGAGCUGUGAAAGACCCAAAUAACGUUCUACAGAGUUGGGACCCCACUUUGGUGGAUCCUUGUUCAUGGUUUCAUGUUAACUGUGACCUUUAUAACCGGGUUACUAGACAGUAAUUAUUUGUUUAUUUAUUUAGUAUUUUGUCUUCUUUUCCUUUCUUCAAUCGCUCAGCUCUGCUCUGCUUUAUUUAGUUCCUAAUUCAUGCUCAUGCAGAGACCUUGGACAAGCAAAACUAUCAGGCCAUUUGGUUCCUGAGCUAGUGAAACUCACUUCAGUUUCUGUAAGCAACCGACCACUUAAUUUAUAGUAUCUAUAUUUCUUGAGAAAAUACUACUAAGAGUCAGUGAACUCUUGCGGAGAAUUGUACAAGAAUGAUUGGUUGGUCCAAUACCAAAGGAACUUGGAAACCUGAAAAAUCUGAUUAGUUUGAGUCUUUACCGCAACAACCUCACUCCAUCCCUCCCACCCUCUCCAACCUAUUAUCAAAUUCUUGCACUCACAACAACAAGCUAACAGGAAGAACAGGGGAACUCACUAAUGUCACAAGCCUCAAGAUUCUAGACCUGUCAAACAACGAUCUCUGUGGCACCUUCCCCACAUACGGAUCCUUCUCCAACUUCUCUCCACAAAGUUUCCAGAAUUAAUGGGGUUCGUCAGAUAUGACAUUGGAGAGACAUUGCCAGUCUAGGAAAUGUCUAUUUUCCUUUUAUCCAUUUAUUUCUCUCUAAAUUACAACCAUUAUGUGAUGGUCUCAAGAUCUUUACUACCUCGUUGAUGGCCAUGACAAGGAGAUAAAUAUUUGUCGUAUCUUACACUAAUCUUUUGUUUGAUACACCAAUCUGAUAGGAUUAGGAUAAUCAAUUUUUUAAUCCUAUCCUACAUGGGCCUUAUAUUUUUAAUCCUUAAUUUAAGUUAGAUUAAAAUAAUCCUUCUCAAUUUAAUGAAAGUAUAUUUUCUAAUUUUUGCGUUUUCCCUUCCCAUUCAUUCUCUCUCCCUCUCCACGGAUGGUUUCAGGUGUAUAUCCGUAAUAUUGGUUGCUAUAUGUAUAAUGAAAAUUAUCAUGUUUGGGUACUUGCUAUUUCCAAAUAACUCAACCAGUCCAAGAAAAAUGCUUGGGCGAUGAA